rnacentral:snoRNA from 1 species
CAACAUGAUGAACCCCAGAUAGGGACAUCUUAUGCUACGGCAUGUGAUGAGAACCCGGGCGAUUAUUUUAGUAGAUGCUUCGACCUUUCUGAUA